GCUUGUGGCGGAAUGGUUAUUGCCUUUGGCUCCUAUGCAAAAGGCUCGAGGUUCGAAACCUCGGAGCA
rnacentral:tRNA from 1 species